rnacentral:rRNA from 1 species
CUUCUUUCCUCCCGAGUGCUUGCACUCAAUUGGAAAGAGGAGUGGCGGACGGGUGAGUAACACGUGGGUAACCUACCCAUCAGAGGGGGAUAACACUUGGAAACAGGUGCUAAUACCGCAUAACAGUUUAUGCCGCAUGGCAUAAGAGUGAAAGGCGCUUUCGGGUGUCGCUGAUGGAUGGACCCGCGGUGCAUUAGCUAGUUGGUGAGGUAACGGCUCACCAAGGCCACGAUGCAUAGCCGACCUGAGAGGGUGAUCGGCCACACUGGGACUGAGACACGGCCCAGACUCCUACGGGAGGCAGCAGUAGGGAAUCUUCGGCAAUGGACGAAAGUCUGACCGAGCAACGCCGCGUGAGUGAAGAAGGUUUUCGGAUCGUAAAACUCUGUUGUUAGAGAAGAACAAGGACGUUAGUAACUGAACGUCCCCUGACGGUAUCUAACCAGAAAGCCACGGCUAACUACGUGCCAGCAGCCGCGGUAAUACGUAGGUGGCAAGCGUUGUCCGGAUUUAUUGGGCG